GGUUUCCGUUACCCGACCGUCCCCCAAUCCCAGCUUGGUCCAUCGACUUCUUCUUUCUUCUUAGCCUUGUCUAAAAUGAUAACGGCUAUUUCUUUACUCUAAGUCAAAACUAAAAUCGAAAAAGGAGAAUCGAGCAGUUAGCGAGGCAGCCUCUUCCCUACCUAACGCAGGUGAUGUGAGCAGC
rnacentral:misc_RNA from 1 species